CGCCCAGACUCCUACGGGAGGCAGCAGUGGGGAAUAUUGCACAAUGGGGGAAACCCUGAUGCAGCGACGCCGCGUGAAGGAUGAAGUAUUUCGGUAUGUAAACUUCUAUCAGCAGGGAAGAAAAUGACGGUACCUGACUAAGAAGCCCCGGCUAACUACGUGCCAGCAGCCGCGGUAAUACGUAGGGGGCAAGCGUUAUCCGGAUUUACUGGGUGUAAAGGGGGCGCAGACGGCGAUGCAAGCCAGGAGUGAAAGCCCGGGGCCCAACCCCGGGACUGCUCUUGGAACUGCGUGGCUAGAGUGCAGGAGGGGCAGGCGGAAUUCCUGGUGUAGCGGUGAAAUGCGUAGAUAUCAGGAGGAACACCGGUGGCGAAGGCGGCCUGCUGGACUGCAACUGACGUUGAGGCCCGAAAGCGUGGGGAGCAAACAGGAUUAGAUACCCCCGUAU
rnacentral:rRNA from 1 species